rnacentral:misc_RNA from 1 species
AAGUCGUAACAAGGUUUCCGUAGGUGAACCUGCGGAAGGAUCAUCAUUGAAUAAACUUGCACAGGUUGUUGCUGGCUCUCCCAGUGGGGCAUGUGCACGCCUGUCAUCUUUAUUUCUCCAACUGUGCACAUAUUGUAGACCUGGAGUUUUUGUUCUGAAAUCAUUUUCGAGUUGGGACUGCUGUGCUUCAUUCAGUUGAAGUGGGCUUUUCCUUACAUUUCUGGGUCUAUGUCAUUUCACAACCUCAUUUAGAAUGUCGAACCUAUAAAAGUUAAAUAUACAACUUUCAGCAACGGAUCUCUUGGCUCUCGCAUCGAUGAAGAACGCAGCGAAAUGCGAUAAGUAAUGUGAAUUGCAGAAUUCAGUGAAUCAUCGAAUCUUUGAACGCAUCUUGCGCUCCUUGGUAUUCCGAGGAGCAUGCCUGUUUGAGUGUCAUUUAAGUUCCUCAACCACAUCAAUUUUGUCUUGAUGCGGCUUGGAUGUGGGGGUUUGCAGGGUUCUUUUGAAGUCUGCUCCCCUGAAAUGCAUUAGUGGUGUCUGAGCAGAUAUACUACAGGUGUGAUAAAUAUCUACAUCCUAGUAUGCUGUGGAUUGAACCGCUUUCUAAUAGAGUGAAGGCCCCUUGAGCCUUCACAUUUGAUGAAUUUGACCUCAAAUCAGGUAGGACUACCCGCUGAACUUAAGCAUAUCAAUAAGCGGAGGAAAAGAAACUAACAAGGAUUCCCCUAGUAACUGCGAGUGAAGCGGGAAAAGCUCAAAUUUAAAAUCUGGCAGUCUUUGGCUGUCCGAGUUGUAAUCUGGAGAA